UACGAAGGGUGCAAACGUUGCUCGGAAUUAUUGGGCGUAAAGCGCACGUAGGCGGCUUAGCAAGUCGGAAGUGAAAUCCCACGGCUCAACCAUGGAAGUGCUUUCGAAACUGCUGAGCUUGAGUACUAAAGAGGAUCGCGGAAUUCCCGGUGUAGAGGUGAAAUUCGUAGAUAUCGGGAGGAACACCAGUGGCGAAGGCGGCGAUCUGGGUAGAUACUGACGCUGAGGUGCGAAAGCGUGGGGAGCAAACAGG
rnacentral:rRNA from 1 species